rnacentral:rRNA from 1 species
AGGGCACCACCAGGAGUGGAGCCUGCGGCUUAAUUUGACUCAACACGGGAAAACUCACCCGGCCCGGACACUGUAAGGAUUGACAGAUUGAUAGCUCUUUCUUAAUUCAGUGGAUGGUGGUGCAUGGCCGUUCUUAGUUGGUGGACUGAUUUGUCUGGUUAAUUCCGAUAACGAACGAGACUCUCGCCUACUAAAUAGACGGCGUAUCGAAACGUACGCCGAGCUUCUUAGAGGGACAAGCGGCGCCUAGCCGCAUGAAACAGAGCAAUAACAGGCCUGUGAUGCCCUUAGAUGUCCGGGGCUGCACGCGCGCUACACUGAAAGAAUCAGCGUGCGCGUACGCCUGGUCCGGAAGGACCGGGUAACCCGAUGAAAUUCUUUCGUGCUUGGGAUAGGGAAUUGAAAUUAUUUCCCUUGAACGAGGAAUUCCCAGUAAAUGCGGGUCAUAAGCUCGCGUUGAUUACGUCCCUGCCCUUUGUACACACCGCCCGUCGCUACUACCGAUUGGAAGAUUGAGUG